AGUGAACGCUGGCGGUAGGCCUAACACAUGCAAGUCGAACGGCAGCACAGAGGAGCUUGCUCCUUGGGUGGCGAGUGGCGGACGGGUGAGGAAUACAUCGGAAUCUACUCUGUCGUGGGGGAUAACGUAGGGAAACUUACGCUAAUACCGCAUACGACCUACGGGUGAAAGCAGAGGACGUUCGGGCCUUGCGCGAUUGAAUGAGCCGAUGUCGGAUUAGCUAGUUGACGGGGUAAUGGCCCACCAAGGCGACGAUCCGUAGCUGGUCUGAGAGGAUGAUCAGCCACACUGGAACUGAGACACGGUCCAGACUCCUACGGGAGGCAGCAGUGGGGAAUAUUGGACAAUGGGCGCAAGCCUGAUCCAGCCAUACCGCGUGAGUGAAGAAGGCCUUCGGGUUGUAAAGCCCUUUUGUUGGGAAAGAAAUCCAGCUGGCUAAUACCCGGUUGGGAUGACGGUACCCAAAGAAUAAGCACCGGCUAACUUCGUGCCAGCCGCCGCCGUAA
rnacentral:rRNA from 1 species